rnacentral:lncRNA from 1 species
GACCUGGGCAACCCCGGCUCGGAGGUCCCGGGGCUGGGUCUCCCGGAGGCCUUGGGAGCGAGGCCUGGGCGGGGUCCGGUUUGGCUUGCUCGGGGAGAGCGGGGUUGGAGCCCAGGCAGCCGGAGCGGAACCAAGCCCCGCUCCGAGUGCCACGUCUCCAGGAACCCCCUCCUUACUCUUGGACAACACUCCGCCCCACCCGGGCCGCCGUCCCCCAAACUACCCCUAUUUGUGCUGCCCCAGAUCCUUUGGACACAUCCUCAGGGGGCUCCCUCCUCAUCCGCCCCCUCCGUCCGCAGGCCUCAUUCGGCGAGCCCGCCCCGCCCCCGGCCUGCGCCCCAGAUCUGCAGCCUUCGCCCCUAGAUCCGCCCGCCUGGUGAUGAGGCGCUCCCCGCGUUCCUUCCGGUCUCGGCGACGGGACGACCACGCUCCAGGGUUGCGAACUAGGGGAGCGACUUUCUCCCUUCCCCUCCCACCUCCAGCCGCCAGUCCCCCGCGCUCUCCCGGGGGACGGGGCUCCGGGACGGAGGGCCGGCCCGGCUCCCCAGCAGCCUGGGAGGGGGCGGUGGCCCGCGCAGCACGUAGCGCACGUGUAGGGGCCGCUCUCCACCCCCUCCGCAGCCCGCGGCCUCCGACCACUCUCCUGGGCUCCGGGUGUCUGCGGUGCGCCUGCCUUCCGCCCCGAACCCCCAGUGUCUGCGCCCUCCAAACACUGCACCCCUUCUCACACCACCCUUCCCUUCCCAGCCCUGCUGAUCCUCUCCUCUCUUUCUCCCUUCCCCCCAAUUUCCCCAGUGCACGGGCCUUUCCUCAGACUCUUCACAGUUUGUCUCAGCUCCUCCGAUUCAAUGCCAUCUUCUCUCUCCCCCACCACUUUUGGUGUCCUGGAAUGUUUGGUGUCAGAUGUCCCCUGUGGAAACCCACAAUCCAUGAGAUCUCG